CAACUCUUGGCAAUGGAUCUCUUGGUUCUCGCAUCGAUGAAGAGCGUAGCAAAGUGCGAUAAUUAUUGCGACUUGCAUUCAUAGCGAAUCAUCGAGUUCUCGAACGCAUCUUGCGCCUAGUAGUCAAU
rnacentral:rRNA from 1 species